rnacentral:lncRNA from 1 species
AUGCUCCCCGGAGUAAAUUGCGAGUACAAAUGUGGGCGGCAAGUCACUUCCUGGUUGCAUCUCUCUUUGAGCCGUUCCUGCCAAGACACCUCCCCUGUGUCUCCUCAGUUUCCAGGAGAGAACAAAGAGUUUUGGGAAUUGCCGGAGAAGCACACAGAGGAUGUAACUGUGCCAAGGAGAUGUUCCGGCAUAACUGGGCUCAGCAUGGAAAAAGGAAAACACUUCCACUUAAUGCCUUCAUCCCAAGGAACAAUGCAGGCCCCUGCUGCGAUGCCAUGAAGCCGUUUGCAUUUCAAUGAACCCCAGACAUCGGCAUGCAAUUAAAUCCAAGCGUUCGGAUUGGUCCAUAGGCUGGAAACAACCCAUAGCGGCUUUCCCCAGAAUUCAUCAUUCAUUACCUGGGAACACAAAAGCCAUCCCGACACGCCUGGAGCUGAGUUCAUAGAUCUCAACUGCAGUACCUUUCAUUUGCUGAUGAACUGGUUGUGCACAAGGGGCUUUAAAGGGAGGAAAAGAGUGUGCUGUUUUCUCCCCCAUGACUGCCAUGUUAUUCAUAAAAUCUCAGAGUUGGAAGGGCCCCCCGAAGGCUAUCUAGUCCAACCCAUUGCUCAAUGCAGGGUCUCCAGCUAAAGCAUCAGGGAGCUGUCCAGACUCUUUUGGGAGAUGUCCAGAGAAGCCCAUCUAGGCAGUUGAGUCCAUUGCACAGACAUGCUUAUUAUCAAGAAGUGCCUUCUAAUGUUCAAUCAAAAUCUGCCCCUCCUGUAACUGAAAACCAUUAGACUGAUCGUACACUUUAAAUUGCAAAGAAGAAACCUGUUCUCUUGUCUUUGUGGCAACCCUUGGGUUAUUCUAAAAAGGCAGUCCUAUAACUACUCAGCCUCUUCAAGCUUUCUAUAUACAUACUAGCCAUGCCCAGCCACGCGUUGCUGUGGCUUAUGGGAAUGCUUUGUUGGCCAGGUGGGAUAGCAGUGAAUAGCCUUGCAGCCUCAAACCCUGGUCAUUUUCUUCUUAUGGGAAUUGUUGUUUGGUAAGCUGGAAUACAAAGGAAUAGGCUUGGUGCUUGGAAGGCUGGGUACUUGCGUUCUAGGCAAAUGGUUUUUUGGGCUGCUAGAAUCGCAAUGAAUAGCCUCGCUGCUUGCUACCUAGGGGAAUCUUUGAUUGGUCAGCUUCAAUAGUACAGAGUAGCAUCACUCCUUCAAAGCCUGGAUGCCUUUUACCAAUGUUAAUCCUUUGUUGAUCUGGUUGAAUUGCACUGAAUAGCCUUGCAACUUCAAUGCCUGGCUGUGUUAUACCUAGGGGAAUCCUUGUUUGGCGAGCUGGAGUAGCACCCUCAAUCAAAGAGCUGCUUUGUAGGAAGAGUUCUUGCGCAUAGUGGUUUUUUUUUAUUUUGGGGUAUUUUUCUGGCCUUGUCUCUGUUUUUCUUUCUUUCUUUCUUUCUUUCUUUCUUUCUUUCAGUCAGUCCUUGGAAAGUGAUUAGUUUUGUGGCCAAAUUUUUGUGUGAUUUUUCCCAGUGGUUUUG